CCCUAGACCUGCAUCCGAUACGGGCUAGCUUGAGUUUGGUAGGGGAGACUGGAAUUCCUGGUGUAGCGGUGGAAUGCGCAGAUAUCAGGAGGAACACCGAUGGCGAAGGCAGGUCUCUGGGCCAAUACUGACACUGAGGAGCGAAAGCGUGGGGAGCGAACAGGAUUAGAUACCCUGGUAGUCCACGCCGUAAACGGUGGGCGCUAGUUGUGCGAACCUUCCACGGUUUGUGCGACGCAGCUAACGCAUUAAGCGCCCCGCCUGGGGAGUACGAUCGCAAGAUUAAAACUCAAAGGAAUUGACGGGGCCCCGCACAAGCAGCGGAGCAUGCGGCUUAAUUCGACGCAACGCGAAGAACCUUACCAAGGCUUGACAUAUACAGGAAUAUGGCAGAGAUGUCAUAGCCGCAAGGUCUGUAUACAGGUGGUGCAUGGUUGUCGUCAGCUCGUGUCAUGAGAUGUUGGGUUAAGUCCCGCAACGAGCGCAACCCUCGUUCUGUGUUGCCAGCAUUUAGUUGGGGACUCACAGGAGACUGCCGGGGUUAACUCGGAGGAAGGUGGGGAUGACGUCAAAAUCAUCAUGCCCCUUAUGUCUUGGGCUGCACGCAUGCUACAAUGGCUGGUACAAACGGCUGCGAUACCGCAA
rnacentral:rRNA from 1 species